rnacentral:rRNA from 1 species
UAGUCAUAUGCUUGUCUCAAAGAUUAAGCCAUGCAUGUCUAAGCACAAGCCGAUUAAUGGUGAAGCCGCGAAUGGCUCAUUACAACAGCCAUAGUUUCUUAGAUCUUACUUUUCUACUUGGAUAACUGUGGUAAUUCUAGAGCUAGUACACGCAAACAAGCUCAGACCUUACGGAAUGAGCGCAUUUAUUAGAACAAAAACCAAUCGGGCUUCGGCCCGUCAUUUGGUGAAUCUGAAUAACUUUGCUGAUCGCACGGUCAUCGUACCGGCGACGUAUCUUUCAAAUGUCUGCCUUAUCAACUUUCGAUGGUAGUUUAUGCGCCUACCAUGGUUGUAACGGGUAACGGAGAAUAAGGGUUCGACUCCGGAGAGGGAGCCUGAGAAACGGCUACCACAUCCAAGGAAGGCAGCAGGCACGCAAAUUACCCACUCCCGGCACGGGGAGGUAGUGACGAAAAAUAACGAGACGGCUCGCUAUGCGGUCCGUCAUCGGAAUGGGUACAAUUUAAAUCCUUUAACGAGGAUCUAUU